UUAUUAAAGCUUUUGUACAGUGAAACUGCGAAUGGCUCAUUACAUCAGUUACAGUUCACUUGAGUGAGGAGGAGUACAUGGAAUAUCGAUAUAAUCCCUGGAGUAAUAAAAGGAACAAGACCCGACUUUUUGGAGGGUGGUACUUUUUAUAUAUGAGAACCAACACCGCUUUGGUGCGUGAUUGUGGCUGAGGCAUGAUAAAGGAUGUUAACGAAUCCGGUGCGUUUUGCGCCCAAGAAAACACUCAAGUUUCUGCCAUCUCUCCUUUCAAGAGUUGAGUAUAGUACACCACCGGGCUCAACGGGUAGAGGGAAAUUAGGGUUCGAUUCCGGAGAGGGAGCCUGAGAAACGGCUACCACUUCCAAGGAAGGCAGCAGGCGCGCAAAUUACCCAAUCUUGACACAAGGAGGUAGUGACAAUACAUACUAAUGCGGACUCGCAUGAUUUCUUUAAUUGUGAUGAGAACAAUUCGUACCUGCCAUCGAGAAGCCAUU
rnacentral:rRNA from 1 species